rnacentral:rRNA from 1 species
GAUAAACGCUGGCGGCGUGCCUAAUGCAUGCAAGUCGAACGGGAGCCCUUUCGGGGGUCGACCGUGGCGGACGGGUGAGGAGCACGUAGCUGACCUGCCCCGACCCGGGGGAUAGUCGCC